GAUGAACGCUGGCGGCGUGCCUAAUACAUGCAAGUCGAGCGAACAGACGAGGAGCUUGCUCCUCUGACGUUAGCGGCGGACGGGUGAGUAACACGUGGAUAACCUACCUAUAAGACUGGGAUAACUUCGGGAAACCGGAGCUAAUACCGGAUAAUAUAUUGAACCGCAUGGUUCAAUAGUGAAAGACGGUUUUGCUGUCACUUAUAGAUGGAUCCGCGCCGCAUUAGCUAGUUGGUAAGGUAACGGCUUACCAAGGCGACGAUGCGUAGCCGACCUGAGAGGGUGAUCGGCCACACUGGGACUGAGACACGGUCCAGACUCCUACGGGAGGCAGCAGUAGGGAAUCUUCCGCAAUGGGCGAAAGCCUGACGGAGCAACGCCGCGUGAGUGAUGAAGGUCUUCGGAUCGUAAAACUCUGUUAUUAGGGAAGAACAUAUGUGUAAGUAACUGUGCACAUCUUGACGGUACCUAAUCAGAAAGCCACGGCUAACUACGUG
rnacentral:rRNA from 1 species